UGGUCGAAGACGUGGCCCGGCGAGUCAACGUGCGUGCCGGUAUGAGUGGGCAUUUUCAUGUGAGAGUUAUUGGUGAUAGAUCCGUUCUUCAUACUCUUCUCCAACCAUAUGACCUCGCCGAUUCCCUCGUCGGUCCCAAAGGUGGGCAUGUUGGGGGUGUAUGGGUGAGUGAUGUCGAAGAUACGUCCGUCGGCGUAGACCUCUCGUUUCACGGGGAUGAGCUCGACGUUGCAGGAGCCCGAGCCGUAGGCAGAGGGAUAAGCCUCGGAGGCGAAGGAAGAGGGGAGGAAGAGAGUGGCCACAGUGACCACCCCGGCGCAGAGCAGUGGGAGCAACAGCGAGGAUCCCAUGGUGGUGAAGAUUGAAGAAGAGAGAAGAGUCACUGAGGGAUAUCCAAGCUCACUGGUUGAAGGGCCUUAUAUAAAAG
rnacentral:lncRNA from 1 species